rnacentral:rRNA from 1 species
UACAGAGGUCUCAAGCGUUGUUCGGAUUCAUUGGGCGUAAAGGGUGCGUAGGCGGCGCGGUAAGUCGGGUGUGAAAUCUUGGAGCUUAACUCCGAAACUGCAUUCGAUACUGCCGUGCUUGAGGACUGGAGAGGAGACUGGAAUUUACGGUGUAGCGGUGAAAUGCGUAGAUAUCGUAAGGAAGACCAGUGGCGAAGGCGGGUCUCUGGACAGUUCCUGACGCUGAGGCGCGAAAGCCAGGGGAGCAAACGGG